AGGAAUAUUGGUCAAUGGACGAGAGUCUGAACCAGCCAAGUAGCGUGAAGGAUGACUGCCCUAUGGGUUGUAAACUUCUUUUAUAUGGGAAUAAAGUGGUCCACGUGUGGAUUUUUGUAUGUACCAUAUGAAUAAGGAUCGGCUAACUCCGUGCCAGCAGCCGCGGUAAUACGGAGGAUCCGAGCGUUAUCCGGAUUUAUUGGGUUUAAAGGGAGCGUAGGUGGACAGUUAAGUCAGUUGUGAAAGUUUGCGGCUCAACCGUAAAAUUGCAGUUGAUACUGGCUGUCUUGAGUACAGUAGAGGUGGGCGGAAUUCGUGGUGUAGCGGUGAAAUGCUUAGAUAUCACGAAGAACUCCGAUUGCGAAGGCAGCUCACUGGACUGCAACUGACACUGAUGCUCGAAAGUGUGGGUAUCAAACAGGAUUAGAUACCCUGGUAGUCCACACGGUAAACGAUGGAUACUCGCUGUUGGCGAUAGACUGUCAGCGGCUUAGCGAAAGCGUUAAGUAUCCCACCUGGGGAGUACGCCGGCAACGGUGAAACUCAAAGGAAUUGACGGGGGCCCGCACAAGCGGAGGAACAUGUGGUUUAAUUCGAUGAUACGCGAGGAACCUUACCCGGGCUUGAAUUGCAGACGAAUUGCUUGGAAACAGGCAAGCCGCAAGGCGUCUGUGAAGGUGCUGCAUGGUUGUCGUCAGCUCGUGCCGUGAGGUGUCGGCUUAAGUGCCAUAACGAGCGCAACCCUCGUGUCCAGUUACUAGCAGGUUAUGCUGAGGACUCUGGACAGACUGCCAUCGUAAGAUGUGAGGAAGGUGGGGAUGACGUCAAAUCAGCACGGCCCUUACGUCCGGGGCUACACACGUGUUACAAUGGGGGGUACAGAAGGCCGCUACCUGGUGACAGGAUGCUAAUCCCAAAAGCCUCUCUCAGUUCGGAUCGAAGUCUGCAACCCGACUUCGUGAAGCUGGAUUCGCUAGUAAUCGCGCAUCAGCCAUGGCGCGGUGAAUACGUUCCCG
rnacentral:rRNA from 1 species